GCGGAGGUUGCCAAGCGGUCAAAGGCGCCGGGUUCAGGGCCCGGUCGUGUAGACGUUCGUGGGUUCAAAUCCCACCUUCCGCA
rnacentral:tRNA from 1 species